rnacentral:tRNA from 1 species
GAAGGAUUAGUUAAUAGUAUAACAUUAGAAUGUCAAACUAAAAUAAUCAAAUAGAUAUCCUUCU